GAUCGAUAUUUUUAAAUAAAAAAAUUAAAAGAACAAAAAAAAACCAAACCCCGAAAAAAUGCCCUCUCUCUCUCAACAAAAAAGCCCAAGUGACUCUCUCCCUCUGAUAAUUCAGAAAUGACAUGUGGAGGCCACAUCUCUCGUCUCCCAACUCUCUGGCCCUAAAUCGUCUAAGUCCUACUUCGGCCACCGACAAAAUCGUGCCCCAAACUCAACCAGUCUCACUCAAUCGCUCUUCCAACACCUCCACUCAUCUCAGUCCCUCCACUUCCUGCAAGGCCUUCAGAAAUCAGAACUGUCCCUGCACCUCAAACCCACCCGACCCCCAAAAUUUCCAAACCUCUACUUAGGUUUUAGAGCAACCAUUGCAGAUCGCGGCGGUGGUGGAGAACUGCCGAAGCCCUACCAGAAGAAGCAGCAGCGCCAAAGCUCAAGGAAAGCAAUGCAGUCCAAUCGGAGAUCGGCGCAAUCGAGAACUGUAGGCGGCGUCGAACGACAGCUAGUACUUCGUUUUGGUGUUCGAGUUCCCGGUUGAAAACCAGGUUAUGAUAGUCGUGCUUGGAGUGGUGGCUCUGGUCUUGACCCAUGUAUGGCUAAACGAUGUCGUGGCGGUAGCUGGCUGAGAAGCUCACACUGUGGUGCUCACAGUUAUGGGUAUGUGUAUUCAUGGGGAGAGGCACGUUUGGGUGUCUCGGAACCGGUUCGGAAUCCGACGAGCUCUUUCCGAUUCGGGUCAAAUUGAAACCAGAAAAGGAGCUCAAAUUUGUGGGAGUUGCUGCUGGUGCUUACCAUAGUCUUGCUCUGGCUGGUUAGUUUUAGCUUUGAGUAGUAAUAAGCAUCAAUCUUUUAGCUAUACUGCUAUAGUGAUUGCUGGAAUAUGCUUUACCACAUGUUUUGAUAAUCUUGUUCUGAGUUGAUUGAGUCUUCGAUUCUUGAAAUACUUAGCAGAUGUUUGUGGCAGACAUUGAAAUUACUAGAUGAUGAUAUAUUGGUGUUGCUUAAGAUAAGGCUUAUUGUAUGUGUACGUGGUUCGAUCUUCCUCACUUAUCUCAACCAUUUGGGUUUUGAUGAAGAGGACGAAAAAGCAGAUUGGGGUUUUGAGGUUGAGAUCGAUCAGAUAAUGGAGAGAUUGGGGCGGCGCCGGAACAACCUGCACAUCGGGAUCGAAUCUGACUCGAGCUUAACCCCAUUACCAGAGGAAGAAGAAGAAUGAGGUGGAUGGUCGAAUGAGGGUGUGGAUUGGAACAAAAUCAGAACAAAGAGUAGUUUGGACAUUUUACCCUUGUUGGGGGUCUAAAAUCUGAAAAAUGAGCCCUCAUGUCGGUGCCAACUCAGCUUAUGAUAUCAUGUUCGGAGCUAAAUUUAAAAUUUGGACGCGGGUGAUGGAAAUUAGAAGUGCAAGGACCAUCGUAAUUAAAAAAAAAAUCAGGGACCAAACUGAUUUUCAACCUAAAGUUUGAGCGAGUAAACUGAACUUAGUCCUAAAACUAAUUACUUACUCUAAUCUUAUGUGCAAGUCAUGUACUGAUGUACGUGCUAGGGAUCGGAAUCUACAUCUUGUAUUUUCGGAUGAUUAUGUUUUGGGAAACAAAGUAAAGAUUCGGAUAAGUUUAUGUCAA